rnacentral:rRNA from 1 species
GACGAACGCUGGUGGCGUGCUUAACACAUGCAAGUCGAACGAAGUGGCGAACGGGUGAGUAACGCGUAAUCAACCUGCCCUUCAGAGGGGGACAACAGUUGGAAACGACUGCUAAUACCGCAUACUGAAGGAGGGGAUUGCGUCUGAUUAGCUAGUUGGAGGGGGAACGACCCACCAAGGCGAUGAUCAGUAGCCUGGCUGGGAAGCUGAACGGCCACAUUUGGACUGAUACACUGCCCAGACUUCUACGGGAGGGAGCAGUGGGGAAGCUUCCGGAAUGGACGGAAGUCUGACGGAGCAACGCCGCGGGAGUGAUGACGGCCUUCGGGUUGUAAAGCUCUGUUAAUCGGGACGCGGUACCGGAAUAGAAAGCCACGGCUAACUACGUGCCAGCAGCCGCGGUAAUUC